rnacentral:rRNA from 1 species
AGAGUUUGAUCAUGGCUCAGAUUGAACGCUGGCGGCAGGCCUAACACAUGCAAGUCGAGCGCGAAAGGUUUUCGGACUGAGUAAAGCGGCGGACGGGUGAGUAACGCGUGGGAAUCUGCCCAGUAGUGGGGGACAACAGCCGGAAACGGCUGCUAAUACCGCAUACGCCCUACGGGGGAAGGGGGGGAUCUUCGGACCUCUCGCUAUUGGAUGAGCCCGCGUCGGAUUAGCUUGUUGGUGGGGUAAAGGCCUACCAAGGCGACGAUCCGUAACUGGUCUGAGAGGAUGAUCAGUCACACUGGAACUGAGACACGGUCCAGACUCCUACGGGAGGCAGCAGUGGGGAAUAUUGGACAAUGGGGGCAACCCUGAUCCAGCCAUGCCGCGUGUGUGAAGAAGGCCUUAGGGUUGUAAAGCACUUUCAGUGGGGAGAAAGGUGGUUUGGUUAAUAGCUGAAUCAAUUGAUGUUACCCACAGAAGAAGCACCGGCUAACUCCGUGCCAGCCGCCGCGGUAAUAC